GACGAACGCUGGCGGCGUGCUUAACACAUGCAAGUCGAACGGAAAGGCCCUGCUUUUGUGGGGUGCUCGAGUGGCGAACGGGUGAGUAACACGUGAGUAACCUGCCCUUUACUUUGGGAUAACUUCAGGAAACUGGGGCUAAUACCGGAUAGGAGCUCCUGCUGCAUGGUGGGGGUUGGAAAGUUUCGGCGGUUGGGGAUGGACUCGCGGCUUAUCAGCUUGUUGGUGGGGUAGUGGCUUACCAAGGCUUUGACGGAUAGCCGGCCUGGGAGGGUGAACGGCGACAUGGGGACUGAGAUACGGCCCAGACUCCUACGGGAGGCAGCAGUGGGGAAUAUUGCACAAUGGGCGGAAGCCUGAUGCAGCAACGCCGCGUGCGGGAUGACGGCCUUCGGGUUGUAAACCGCUUUCGCCUGUGACGAAGCGUGAGUGACGGUAAUGGGUAAAGAAGCACCGGCUAACUACGUG
rnacentral:rRNA from 1 species